rnacentral:rRNA from 1 species
UACGGAGGGGGCAAGCGUUAUUCGGAAUUAUUGGGCGUAAAGGGCGCGUAGGCGGCUUGGCACGUGGAAGGUGAAAUCCCUCGGCUUAACCGAGGAACUGCCCUCCAAACUGCUUCGCUUGAGGCCGGGAGAGGUGAGUGGAAUUCCCAGUGUAGCGGUGAAAUGCGUAGAUAUUGGGAGGAACACCAGUGGCGAAGGCGGCUCACUGGACCGGUACUGACGCUGAUGCGCGAAAGCGUGGGGAGCAAACGGG